UGGAACAUACUGUAGAAUGAGGAAAUUGGCACACAGCAGCAGCCUUCCACUCUGGCAUUCUUCUUGGAGUUUUAAGUGUGGACUCUGCCCUUUCUGUGAACACGAACUGCAACUAUGUAGUAUGCCACAGGCAGAGAUGGUCCAGAGUGUAGAUCCUCCAUCAAAGAAUCAGGAAAACAUUGGAAGAACAAAACACCGAAGAUGACUACAAAAACUUCAGGAGAAAUCUAAGAAGUGAAGUGGCUGAGAAAUUCUUUGAACAUAAUGAAGAAAGUAAUCGUGUUGACUUCUUCACCCAGACUGCAGUGCAUAUUGUGAACCAGAAAGCUCAUCCAAGAGUAACACCAUACAAAUGCCACCUGAGUGAAAAAGUCCUUUUUACUCAUCCAUCAGUAAAUGUCCCCCACAGAACUCUUAUGGGUCACACACCACAUGAGUAGGAGGAGUAUGGAGAGAAGUUGUAGGAACACAAGAAGCAUGGGCAGCCUGCUGCUCUCCCAAAUGCCUGCAGAAGCAUGACAUGACUCUAACAGGAGAGAAGCCCCAUGACAAACACUGUGAUGGUGACUUUAGGUGUCACACUUCCUGUCAGGUACAUGAAUGGACUCCUAUUCUAUAAACCACGGGAAUGAAAGCAGUGUGGGAAAGGUUUUCUUCCACUUAUUUCUGAAGGCAUGCAAAACUGCAUAAAGGAGAAAAACCCUAUGUAUGUAAGCAAUGUGGAAAGGCUUUACUCCUUCUGAUUGCCUUCAAUGACAUGGAAGAAUUCAUGCAGGAGAGAAGCAUGUGAGCAUUGUGGGAAAGCCUUUGCCUAUUCCAGAUCCCUGCUGACACAUGGAGAGGAACCCUGUGUAUGUAAGUCUUGUGGGAAAACCUUUGUGUCUUCAAGUCGCUUUCAAGCACAUGUAGAUGUCACUAUGAAGAGAGCCCCCAUGUGUGUGACAAUAUGACAAAGCUUUCAUUUGGAGCAGCAGCUUUCAAAGAUGUAAGUGAAAUCACAGUGGAGAAAAUGUCUGUAUCAGUAAACAGUGUGAGACAACCUUGUCUUAUUUGCAUGGCCUUCAAAGACAUGAACAAAUAUACAUUGGUGAGAAACCCUACGAAUGCACGCAAUGAGGAAAAUUCUUCAUGUGCUCUGAUUCCUUUUAGAAACAUGGCAAGCUUAGGCUGGGGUGAAUUCCUAAAUACAGAUGUGGGAAGGCCUCACUCUCACAUGAACUUUGUAUGAAACAUGACACUACCUUGGAAAAGGAAAUGAGUAUAAUGUAAAGUGUGGGAAAGUAUAUACUCACCCCAGUUAAUUCAAGAACAUUAAAUAGCAUACUAUGGUGAGAAAUCCUGAGUAGAUACAUGUUGCAAAGUCUUAACAUAGCCACCAUCUAUGACGGCAUCCUAGAUCAAAACGUUUUGAACGCAAAGACAAUAGCAAAGUUGUCAUUUAGAAAAAAUUACAUUCAGCUGGGAACCUGUCAUGCACAACUGAAAUCCUAGCUACUCAGGUGGCAGUGAUCAGGAGGUUCAAGUUUCGAAGCCAGACCCAAGCAAGUUGCUUGGAAGACCCGAUCUUGAAAAUACCUAUUAGAACAAAGAGCUGGCAGAAUGGGAGGAGCUCAAGUCAUAGUGCACUGGCCUAGGAAGCCUGUGGUCCUGACUUCAAACCCCAGUACUACCAAAAAGAAAUGUGUAUAGGUGUAACUUAAGUGCAAGUCUCCUGAGAUCCUGAAUUCUUAGAAUGCUGUAGAAAUUGUAGAACCUGAAGGAAAUGUUUUAAUUGCUCUAUGUGUAUUUUAUCAUCAUCUGAAUUUUUUUGUGGCAAUGCUGUUUUUUGUCAGAACCUCAUGCUGGUUGUGCAGAUACUCUACCAUUUUCACAGCUGUAGUGACUCAAAUUUUGUUGUGGGGCAGUUGAAUUUAGGGUUUCCAGCUUGCAAAGCAAGCACUUGACCCACACCUCCAGUCCAUUUUGGUAUGACUAUUUUGAAGAUGGGUUCUAUUGAACUAUUUCACUGGCCUGGCCUUCAACCUUGAUCCUCCCCAAUCUCAGCCUCCCCAGAAGCUUGGAUUACAUAUGUGAACCCCAGGUGCUUAUAACUCUGGCUCAUUCUUAAAGUAACUCUCUGAACUAUUUGUUUUCUCCCUUGAAAAGAAAUGUUGUAGUGACAUAAUU